GAUGAAGAACGCAGCGAAAUGCGAUACGUAGUGUGAAUUGCAGAGUUCAGUGAAUCAUCGAAUCUUUGAACGCACAUUGCACCUCUCGGUAUUCCGGGAGGUAUGCCUGUUCGAGCGUCAUUUGUACCCUCAAGCUCUGCUUGGUGUUGGGUGUUUGUUCCGCCUCUGUGUGUGAACUCGCCUCAAAACAAUUGGCAGCCGGCGUACUUGUUUCGGAGCGCAGCACAUUUUGCGAUCCAGAUCAACGUACAGCGGCAUCCAAGAAGCCUUAUUUAACGCUCUUGACCUCGGAUCAGGUAGGGAUACCCGCUGAACUUAAGCAUAUCAAUAAGCGGAGGA
rnacentral:misc_RNA from 1 species